GAUGAACGCUGGCGGCGUGCCUAAUACAUGCAAGUCGAGCGAACAGACGAGGAGCUUGCUCCUCUGACGUUAGCGGCGGACGGGUGAGUAACACGUGGAUAACCUACCUAUAAGACUGGGAUAACUUCGGGAAACCGGAGCUAAUACCGGAUAAUAUAUUGAACCGCAUGGUUCAAUAGUGAAAGACGGUUUUGCUGUCACUUAUAGAUGGAUCCGCGCCGCAUUAGCUAGUUGGUAAGGUAACGGCUUACCAAGGCAACGAUGCGUAGCCGACCUGAGAGGGUGAUCGGCCACCCGGGAGCUGAGACACGGUCCAGACGCCUACGGGAGGCAGCAGUAGGGAAUCUUCCGCAAUGGGCGAAAGCCUGACGGAGCAACGCCGCGUGAGUGAUGAAGGUCUUCGGAUCGUAAAGCUCUGUUAUUAGGGAAGAACAAAUGUGUAAGUAACUAUGCACGGCUUGACGGUACCUAAUCAGAAAGCCACGGCUAACUACGUG
rnacentral:rRNA from 1 species